rnacentral:rRNA from 1 species
AUUGAACGCUGGCGGCAGGCUUAACACAUGCAAGUCGAGCGGAGAUGAGGUGCUUGCACCUUAUCUUAGCGGCGGACGGGUGAGUAAUGCUUAGGAAUCUGCCUAUUAGUGGGGGACAACAUUCCGAAAGGAAUGCUAAUACCGCAUACGUCCUACGGGAGAAAGCAGGGGAUCUUCGGACCUUGCGCUAAUAGAUGAGCCUAGUCGGAUUAGCUAGUUGGUGGGGUAAAGGCCUACCAAGGCGACGAUCUGUAGCGGGUCUGAGAGGAUGAUCCGCCACACUGGGACUGAGACACGGCCCAGACUACUACGGGAGGCAGCAGUGGGGAAUAUUGGACAAUGGUGGCAACCCUGAUCCAGCCAUGCCGCGUGUGUGAAGAAGGCCUUAUGGUUGUAAAGCACUUUAAGCGAGGAGGAGGCUACUGAGACUAAUACUCUUGGAUAGUGGACGUUACUCGCAGAAUAAGCACCGGCUAACUCUGUGCCAGCCGCCGCAGUAA